GAAGCUGCUGACCGUGUGGCAAUGGACAACCCUUUGAAAGUCUGCCCUUCAGCUGGCGCUUUGUACUCUGGGCUGGAGGACCCGGACAGCACACCCCACCCUCACCUGAAGCACGCAGAGGUACAGAGGGGGAUGUCUUGCUUGUGCUUCUAAACAUGGAAAUUCCACCAAGAACUUAAGGACAAGAACCUAUUACUUGAUGAAAUCAGGCCACUCUACAGAGUUGCAUACAAACCUGAUUGUGUUCAGAGAGAAAGGAGAUAGGCAGCUUCUGUCAAAUUGGAUUUAAAAUGUAUUAAAGGCUCUGAAUGUUUGAGGGAACCCUAGGGUGAUGCUGAGUGGGAAUCUUACAGAGAGAAAAAAAUGCAUGCUUGAAAAUUCUGCUUCGUUCACACAUCCAUUCACUUCAUCAUAAAGCAAACCCAUUGUGUGCUCAGCAGUGCUUCAGUGCUGAGUGAUAUGAAGACAAGUAAUAGGCAAGACUCUGCUUGUGUGUGUGUGUGUGUGUGUGUGUGUGUGUGUGUGUAGCUGGGUAUCCAACUCAAAGCCUUCUGCAUGACAAGUGGAAUUUUCUCCAUUCCAGGCACAGAGAUAAAGAGACAGCCCCCUGCUGUGCUUUUUGAAGGUAGGGAAUGUGCUGAGAAGUAGACAAGACCCCUCCUGGAGUACCUGCAAUUAGAUCAGGCAUCUGUGUGCAUGAGAACAUACAAGGGCCACCCUGCCCCAAUAUGGCAAUAAUAGUUUCCUCACCUUUCCAGGUCGGUUGCUGAGACCUACCUGAGCUGUGUCCCUCUUGCUCAGUUGGCAUUCCUCCCUCCCUGACCCUUCAUAGUAACAAUAGCAGGAGAGGUUCACAGGGAAGGCUCUGGUGGAAGAGUUGGGGGACCACUUUGGUAUUAUGGGAUGGACAGUUAUUCCAAGCACACAGAGCAGGAAAAGCUAGCCUCCUCUCACUCCCCAGAAGUGGCAAGCCUUUCCUGUCCUCAUCUUCUUCUUCUGCCUUUCUUCCUGCUGCCUCCAACGUGUGGCUUCAGGAAAACCAAGUAUCUCUGAGGCCAAUUGUCCACAGCCAUGGAGAAAGCAUGUAAAGUGGCAUUUUCUCUGAAUUACAGCUGGUGCAGGAGAAACG
rnacentral:lncRNA from 1 species